AUACGUAGGGGGCGAGCGUUGUCCGGAAUGAUUGGGCGUAAAGGGCGCGUAGGCGGCCCGGUAAGUCUGGAGUGAAAGUCCUGUUUUUAAGAUGGGAAUUGCUUUGGAUACUGUCGGGCUUGAGUGCAGGAGAGGUAAGUGGAAUUCCCAGUGUAGCGGUGAAAUGCGUAGAGAUUGGGAGGAACACCAGUGGCGAAGGCGACUUACUGGACUGUAACUGACGCUGAGGCGCGAAAGUGUUGGGAGCAAACAGGAUUAGAUACCCUGGUAGUCCACACUGUAAACGAUGAAUGCUAGGUGUAGGGGGUAUCGACCCCGUCUGUGCCGCAGUCAACACAAUAAGCAUUCCGCCUGGGAAGUACGGCAGCAAGGUUGAAACUCAAAUGAAUUGACGGGG
rnacentral:rRNA from 1 species